GUUGAGUAGAAUAAAUGAGUUGUUGGCAGGCUUGGAAAGAAAUGGUAAGAUGACUGGAGGGGGUGUGCAUAGAUAACGUAUCUUGGGAAGCAAUUUUUUCCUCAUUUAAUAUGGUAUAUCUAGAUGAGAGAAACCUAAGGAGAGAAUAUGAGAUCUUUGUGAACCUUCAAACGAGCUCAAGAUGGUAUAUAGCUCAAGCCAUUGUUUCCGUGGAUAUAUAUAUAUAUGUAACUUAGAAUAGAACUAUAACAUAAUUACUUAAAAAGUAACAGACCAAACUUGCCAACAGAUGUCCUAAUAAAACAAAAUUGAUUUUAUAGGUUGCAACCACUAACUGGUUGGAAAGCAAAAAUAAAAAUAGCUUAUCAGAUUUUUCCAUAACACUUAAGUUGUAGUUAAAAGAAGAGGUUUACCUCCAGAAACUCAAAUAGUUCAA
rnacentral:misc_RNA from 1 species